GAUGAACGCUAGCUACAGGCUUAACACAUGCAAGUCGAGGGACCGGCGCACGGGUGAGUCACACGUAUCCAACCUGCCCUUUACUCGGGGAUAGCCUUACGAAAGAAAGAUUAAUACCCUGUGUAAAGGAUGUGGAUGCGUUCCAGUAGGUUGUUGGUGAGGUAACGGCUCACCAAGCCUUCGAGGGAUAGGGGUUCUGCGAGGAAGGUCCCCCACAAUGGAACUGGGACACGGUCCAAACUCCUACGGGAGGCAGCAGUGAGGAAUAUUGGUCAAUGGGCGUUAGCCGGAACCAGCCAAGUAGCGUGAAGGAGGAAGGGUUAUGGGUCGUAAACUUCUUUUAUAUAAGAAUAUGUAUUAUAUGAAUAAGGAUCGGCUAACUCCGUGCCAGCAGCCGCGGUAAUUC
rnacentral:rRNA from 1 species